CGCACAAAAAGCUGUAGAGUUUGCUCCUCAGGCUGGACAGAAGCUUGAUAGGGUCUUGUACCGAAUUGACUCCGAGAUACGACGAACAGGACGAAUCUCCAGGAAAGAGGUUGAGGAUGUCAUUGGAGAGCUGAAGUACACAAAAUUCGCAUCAGGUACCCAGUCAUUGUUGGUGCUGCGCUGUUUAGGUAGUUUAUUGACCGAAGAGCUUCCAGAAGUUCGGAACAAACUUGUCCAAGAAGUCUGGGAUACUCUCUUAAAAUUCAAUGUACCCCC